GCGGCGUUGGUUCAAGAGAAGAACACGAGGGUGCCAACCUCGAGAUCCGGGUGCGAUUCCCGGACGCCGCUCCA
rnacentral:tRNA from 1 species